rnacentral:rRNA from 1 species
GAUCAUGGCUCAGGAUGAACGCUAGCGGCAGGCUUAACACAUGCAAGUCGAGGGGCAGCGGGAUGUAGCAAUACAUUGCCGGCGACCGGCGGAUGGGUGCGUAACGCGUAUGCAACCUACCUUAUACAGGGGAAUAACCUUUCGAAAGGGAGACUAACACCCCAUAGUAUUGAUUUAAGGCAUCUUAGAUUAAUUAAAUAUUUAUAGGUAUAAGAUGGGCAUGCGUAUGAUUAGCUAGUUGGUAAGGUAACGGCUUACCAAGGCGACGAUCAUUAGGGGUUCUGAGAGGAAGGUCCCCCACACUGGUACUGAGACACGGACCAGACUCCUACGGGAGGCAGCAGUGAGGAAUAUUGGUCAAUGGGCGCAAGCCUGAACCAGCCAUGCCGCGUGCAGGAGGACGGCCUUAUGGGUUGUAAACUGCUUUUACAUAAGACUAACCGUAUAUUUGCGAAUAUACCUGAAUGUAUUAUGAGAAUAAGGAUCGGCUAACUCCGUGCCAGCCGCCGC